UAUAAGUUUGAUUCUUGCUUAUUUAUUAAUUAUCUCUAUAAUUAAUAUGGAUAUUUAAUAAAUUUAAAUAUUAUUCCAGUUAUUAAUAUUAUUAAUUAAGUGAAAGUUUAAUAUAGUAAUAGUUUUAUAAUAGGUUAAUAUUGUGCCAGCAUCCGCGGUUAUACAAUUUAUUAAUAUUAAUAUUUUAGGUUAUAUUAAAUUUUAUUAAUUUUUAGGAUUUACAUUUUUAAUAUUUAAGUGGAAUUUAUAUUCUUUAUAAUUUCUUAUAAUUUUUUAAUAAAUUUAUUUGAUAAACUAGGAUUAGAUACCCUAUUAUAAUUUACUUAAAUUUUGAUCUUGAAUAAUAUUAGUUAUGUUCUUUAAAACUCAAAGAAUUUGGCGGUGACUUAUUUUUUUAGAGGAAUCUGUAUAUUAAUUGAUAAACCACAAUAGUUUAUACUUUUUAAUUUAUUUGUAUAUCGCUAUAUACUUAAAUUUUUUGUAAGAAAUUUUUAUUUAUUAUUUAUAAGUUAAUGUUAGGUCAAGGUGCAGUUUUUAAGGAGUUUAUAUGGAUUACUAUAAUUUUUAAUAAAAAUUUUUAUAUUGGAUUGUUUUAAAAUUCUUAAUUAAAACAUGAAAUAGGAUUUAAUAGUAAAUUUUUUUAAUUAAAAGAUUUGAAUAUAACUCUAAGUCAUGUACAUAUCGCCCGUCACUCCUAAUUAAGUUAGGAUAAGUCGUAACAAAGUAAUUCUACCGGAAGGUGGAAUUAGUAGAUA
rnacentral:ncRNA from 1 species